AUUGAACGCUGGCGGCAGGCUUAACACAUGCAAGUCGAGCGGGGGAGGUUGCUUCGGUAACUGACCUAGCGGCGGACGGGUGAGUAAUGCUUAGGAAUCUGCCUAUUAGUGGGGGACAACAUCUCGAAAGGGGUGCUAAUACCGCAUACGUCCUACGGGAGAAAGCAGGGGACCUUCGGGCCUUGCGCUAAUAGAUGAGCCUAAGUCGGAUUAGCUAGUUGGUGGGGUAAAGGCCUACCAAGGCGACGAUCUGUAGCGGGUCUGAGAGGAUGAUCCGCCACACUGGGACUGAGACACGGCCCAGACUCCUACGGGAGGCAGCAGUGGGGAAUAUUGGACAAUGGGGGGAACCCUGAUCUAGCCAUGCCGCGUGUGUGAAGAAGGCCUUUUGGUUGUAAAGCACUUUAAGCGAGGAGGAGGCUACUGGUAUUAAUACUACCGGAUAGUGGACGUUACUCGCAGAAUAAGCACCGGCUAACUCUGUGCCAGCCGCCGCAGUAAGAC
rnacentral:rRNA from 1 species